rnacentral:rRNA from 1 species
AUACGUAGGGGGCGAGCGUUGUCCGGAAUGAUUGGGCGUAAAGGGCGCGUAGGCGGCCCGGUAAGUCUGGAGUGAAAGUCCUGUUUUUAAGAUGGGAAUUGCUUUGGAUACUGUCGGGCUUGAGUGCAGGAGAGGUAAGUGGAAUUCCCAGUGUAGCGGUGAAAUGCGUAGAGAUUGGGAGGAACACCAGUGGCGAAGGCGACUUACUGGACUGUAACUGACGCUGAGGCGCGAAAGUGUGGGGAGCAAACAGGAUUAGAUACCCUGGUAGUCCACACUGUAAACGAUGAAUGCUAGGUGUAGGGGGUAUCGACCCCUGCAGUGCCGGAGUAAACACAAUAAGUAUUCCGCCUGGGGAGUACGGCCGCAAGGUUGAAACUCAAAGGAAUUGACGGGG